rnacentral:rRNA from 1 species
UACGUAGGGUGCGAGCGUUGUCCGGAAUUAUUGGGCGUAAAGAGCUUGUAGGCGGUUUGUCGCGUCUGCUGUGAAAACUCGGGGCUUAACUCCGGGCCUGCAGUGGGUACGGGCAGACUAGAGUGCGGUAGGGGAGACUGGAAUUCCUGGUGUAGCGGUGAAAUGCGCAGAUAUCAGGAGGAAUACCGAUGGCGAAGGCAGGUCUCUGGGCUGAAACUGACGCUCAUGCACGAAAGCGUGGGGAGCAAACAGG